rnacentral:lncRNA from 1 species
GAGAGGGAUAGCUGGGACAAACGGUGGUUUCAUUCCAAGUUUUCUAAGGCAUCUCCACACUGCUUUCCAGAUUGGUUGUACCAACUUACAGUCCCACCAGCAAGGUAUGUGUGUUCCUUUUUCCCCAAAUCCUCACCAACACUUUCUGUUGGUUGUAUUCUUGAUAACUGCAAUUCUGACCGGAGUGAGAUGAAAUCUUAAGGUAAUUUUGAUUUAAAUAUGCUAUUCUCUUGUCAUCUGGACACCAUUGUCUCUAAUGAGAAGUCAUAAGUUAUUGUGUCCUUGUUACCCACUCUAUGAAAUGUGUCAUUUUUUUCCCAUGAUGACUUUUAGUACUGUCCCUAACCUUAAUUUUUAGCAUUUUGGUUUUAUUUGUGUUUAUCUUGUUUAGGGUUUAUAAAACUUACUGAAUUUUUAAGUUGAUCUUUCCCCAAUUUGAAGUAUUUUAGGUCUUCAAAUACUUCUUUAAAAAAACAUUCUGAUCAAUUCUCU